rnacentral:rRNA from 1 species
UACGUAGGGUCCGAGCGUUGUCCGGAAUUACUGGGCGUAAAGAGCUCGUAGGUGGUUUGUCGCGUUGUUCGUGAAAACUCACAGCUCAACUGUGGGCGUGCGGGCGAUACGGGCAGACUAGAGUACUGCAGGGGAGACUGGAAUUCCUGGUGUAGCGGUGAAAUGCGUAGAUAUCAGGAGGAACACCGGUGGCGAAGGCGGCUAUCUGGACAGAAACUGACGCUGAGGCGCGAAAGCUAGGGGAGCAAACAGG